GAUGCUACCUUUAGUGUUCUACUUUCUCUUCAAACCCUUUCUCCCUACCUUCAUUUUCUUUUUAUCCACUAAAAGAAGAAGAGUCUUUUCUGGCUUGAAAUGGCUCUUAGCUAUUUUUAACAUGUUCAAUAGCUCUGGUAGGAUAGUAUUCAGUUUGUUCAUAUGAUAAUUUAUGACAAAUUGAAAGAAGAAAUCAGAGAGUGACUGCAGGAUCAAGUUCUAACUAAGCUCUCCAU
rnacentral:lncRNA from 1 species